CCAAUAGCGUAUAUUAAAGUUGUUGCAGUUAAAAAGCUCGUAGUUGAAUUUCGGGAUCAGUACGCUGGUCGUGCCUUCGGUAUGAACUGGUGUCACUGGUUCCUCCCUUCUGAAGAACCGUCAUGCCAUUCAGUUGGUGUGGCGGGAAAUCAGGACUGUUACUUUGAAAAAAUUAGAGUGUUUAAAGCAGGCUCGCGCUUGAAUACAUUAGCAUGGAAUA
rnacentral:rRNA from 1 species